rnacentral:rRNA from 1 species
UGGGGAAUAUUGCACAAUGGGCGCAAGCCUGAUGCAGCCAUGCCGCGUGUAUGAAGAAGGCCUUCGGGUUGUAAAGUACUUUCAGUCGGGAGGAAGGUGGUAAGGUUAAUAACCUUAUCAAUUGACGUUACCGACAGAAGAAGCACCGGCUAACUCCGUGCCAGCAGCCGCGGUAAUACGGAGGGUGCAAGCGUUAAUCGGAAUUACUGGGCGUAAAGCGCACGCAGGCGGUUGAUUGAGUCAGAUGUGAAAUCCCCGGGCUUAACCCGGGAAUUGCAUCUGAUACUGGUCAGCUAGAGUCUUGUAGAGGGGGGUAGAAUUCCAUGUGUAGCGGUGAAAUGCGUAGAGAUGUGGAGGAAUACCGGGGGCGAAGGCGGCCCCCUGGACAAAGACAGACGCUCAGGUGCGAAAGCGUGGGGAGCAAACAGG